UACGAAGGGGGCUAGCGUUGUUCGGAAUUACUGGGCGUAAAGCGUAUGCAGGCGGACUUUUAAGUCGGGGGUGAAAUCCCGAGGCUCAACCUCGGAACUGCCUUCGAUACUGGAAGUCUUGAGUCCGGGAGAGGUGAGUGGAAUUCCUAGUGUAGAGGUGAAAUUCGUAGAUAUUAGGAAGAACACCAGUGGCGAAGGCGGCUCACUGGCCCGGUACUGACGCUGAGGAGGCGAAAGCGUGGGGAGCGAACAGG
rnacentral:rRNA from 1 species